rnacentral:rRNA from 1 species
CAAUAGCGUAUAUUAAAGUUGUUGCGGUUAAAAAGCUCGUAGUUGGAUUUCUGCUGAGAACGACCGGUCCGCCCUUUGGGUGUGUAUCUGGCUCUUUCUUGGCAUCUUCUUGGUGAACGUUGCUGCACUUGACUGUGUGGAGCGCUACCCAGGACUUUUACUUUGAGGAAAUUAGAGUGUUUCAAGCAGGCAUACGCCUUGAAUACAUUAGCAUGGAAUAAUAAGAUAGGACCUCGGUUCUAUUUUGUUGGUUUCUAGAGCUGAGGUAAUGAUUAAUAGGGAUAGUUGGGGGCAUUCGUAUUUAACAGUCAGAGGUGAAAUUCUUGGAUUUGUUAAAGACGGACUACUGCGAAAGCAUUUGCCAAGGAUGUUUUCAUUAA